AACGAACGCUGGCGGCAUGCCUAACACAUGCAAGUCGAACGAGACCUUCGGGUCUAGUGGCGCACGGGUGCGUAACGCGUGGGAACCUGCCCUUAGGUUCGGAAUAACUCCCCGAAAGGGGUGCUAAUACCGGAUAAUGUCUUCGGACCAAAGAUUUAUCGCCUUUGGAUGGGCCCGCGUUGGAUUAGCUAGUUGGUAGGGUAAAAGCCUACCAAGGCGACGAUCCAUAGCUGGUCUGAGAGGAUGAUCAGCCACACUGGGACUGAGACACGGCCCAGAAUCCUACGGGAGGCAGCAGUGGGGAAUAUUGGAAAAUGGGCGAAAGGCUGAACCAGCAAUGCCGCGUGAGUGAUGAAGGCCUUAGGGUUGUAAAGCUCUUUUACCCGGGAUGAUAAUGACAGUACCGGGAGAAUAAGCUCCGGCUAACUCCGUG
rnacentral:rRNA from 1 species